GGAAUGAUGACACAAAGCCCCUUGAACAGAAGAGUGAUUAAUGCAUCAAAUUGCCAUCAAUACCUCUCAAAAGGAAUUGGCUGUGUCAGCUCAGCAGUACAGCCCUUUUUUGUCACAUCAGCCCUCAGGGAGUCAACAACAGCCAAUGGCAAGCCAUGUUGGCUGUAGCAGCAGUGCCCUGAAGCUGGACACAGGCUUUUUCAAGCUCCACCCCUAAAUAACUUUCAAUUCUGUGAGUCACAAUAGGAACUGCCCCGAUGAAUGAUUAAUUAAACUAAAACCAAUCUGUGGGAGUUUGCAUUAUUCUCAGAGUCUCAUUAACCCACUUAAGACUUUUCUCUCUUGUCUCAGAGCAGGGCAGAGGAAUUCUAACGCUGGAAAUUCAGUGCAGAAGGACUCCUGUAAUGGUGUAUCUCCAUUAAAAAUGAUAUAAAGCCGUACAUUCAAGUAAUUCAGGAACACCAUUGGAACAUUGCUGGAAACACGUCUUUAUCUCUCCCCUGCGAACAGGUUGGGUUGGAGGGGAUGUGAGGCUGCGGUGCUGAAAGACACACACUAGUAGGCCUAUGGACUAUCCUGUUAGUCACUUGAUUGAGUCACAGGUUUCUAAAUGGGUCCUUUCCACCCCUGUAUGAGGGGAUGAGUGAUGGUAAUGAUGAAGGAGACAAUGAUGUUGGUGCUCUGGUUUCCUCCAUGUCUCCAUCUCUCUUUCUCCUCCCCCAUCUUACCCUCUGUCUUCCAUUAUUCUUUUCUGGCACAGCUUCACAUGGUUCUGCAUGGUUGUUUCUCCUGUCCCCGGGCACCGCUGUGCUGUGCAGUGAGCAGUGCUGGCUCUCAGACCCCGCGUCAUUUGGUAAAAUGCAGGAGAAAAUGCCAGCUUCUUCUCAAGGCACAAUACACAACCUGACUGACUCACUUGAAUGAGAUGAAUGAAUGACGAGCUGGUUGACUCUCCAACACUGAAUGAGAUGAAUGAAUGACGAGCUGGUUGACUCUCCAACACUGAAUGAGAUGAAUGAAUGACGAGCUGGUUGACUCUCCAACACUGAAUGAGAUGAAUGAAUGACGAGCUGGUUGACUCUCCAACACUGAAUGAGAUGAAUGAAUGACGAGCUGGUUGACUCUCCAACACUGAAUGAGGGUCAUAGUAAAGAUGAUGCAGACUAAGUGCCAACCCUGCAUCAUACUUAUUGAGACAGACU
rnacentral:lncRNA from 1 species